rnacentral:rRNA from 1 species
AACGAACGCUGGCGGCAUGCCUAACACAUGCAAGUCGAACGAACCCUUCGGGGUUAGUGGCGCACGGGUGCGUAACGCGUGGGGAUCUGCCCUUUGCUUCGGAAUAACAGUUAGAAAUGACUGCUAAUACCGGAUGAUGUCGAAAGACCAAAGAUUUAUCGGCAAAGGAUGAACCCGCGUAGGAUUAGCUAGUUGGUGGGGUAAAGGCCUACCAAGGCGACGAUCCUUAGCUGGUCUGAGAGGAUGAUCAGCCACACUGGGACUGAGACACGGCCCAGACUCCUACGGGAGGCAGCAGUGGGGAAUAUUGGACAAUGGGCGAAAGCCUGAUCCAGCAAUGCCGCGUGAGUGAUGAAGGCCUUAGGGUUGUAAAGCUCUUUUACCAGGGAUGAUAAUGACAGUACCUGGAGAAUAAGCUCCGGCUAACUCCGUGCCAGCAGCCGCCGCAGUAA